rnacentral:rRNA from 1 species
CUUGAACGCUGGCGGCAGGCCUAACACAUGCAAGUCGAACGAGUGGCGGACGGGUGAGUAAUGUCUGGGAAACUGCCUGAUGGAGGGGGAUAACUACUGGAAACGGUAGCUAAUACCGCAUACCAUCAGAUGUGCCCAGGCGGGAUUAGCUUGUUGGUGGGGUAACGUCUGACCAAGGCGACGAUCCCUAGCUGGUCUGAGAGGAUGACCAGCCACACUGGAAAUGAGACACGGUCCAGACUCCUACGGGAGGCAGCAGGGGGGAAGAUUGCACAAUGGGCGAAAGCCUGAUGCAGCCAGGCCGCGUGUAUGAAGAAGGCCUUCGGGUUGUAAAGUACUUUCAGCGGGGAGGCGUUACCCGCAGAAGAAGCACCGGCUAACUCCGUGCCAGCAGCCGCGGUAAUUC